UACAGAGACCGCAAGCGUUAUUCGGAUUCACUGGGCGUAAAGGGUGCGCAGGCGGCCGAGUGUGUGAGGCGUGAAAGCCCGGGGCUUAACCCCGGAAUUGCACCUCAAACUACACGGCUAGAGCAUUGGAGAGGGUAGCAGAAUUCAUGGUGUAGCAGUGAAAUGCGUAGAUAUCAUGAGGAAUACCAGAGGCGAAGGCGGCUACCUGGACAAUUGCUGACGCUCAGGCACGAAAGCGUGGGGAGCAAAAGGG
rnacentral:rRNA from 1 species